rnacentral:piRNA from 1 species
UUCUCUUCUAACAGGGGUAGC